GGGCAAGGGGCUGCUUACCAUGCAGUCGACAAUGAUGCCCAGCUUGCUGGGUGGAUUAGUGGCGAACGGGUGAGUAACACGUGAGUAACCUGCCCCUGACUCUGGGAUAAGCGUUGGAAACGACGUCUAAUACUGGAUAUGAUCACUGGCCGCAUGGUCUGGUGGUGGAAAGAUUUUUUGGUUGGGGAUGGACUCGCGGCCUAUCAGCUUGUUGGUGAGGUAAUGGCUCACCAAGGCGACGACGGGUAGCCGGCCUGAGAGGGUGACCGGCCACACUGGGACUGAGACACGGCCCAGACUCCUACGGGAGGCAGCAGUGGGGAAUAUUGCACAAUGGGCGAAAGCCUGAUGCAGCAACGCCGCGUGAGGGAUGACGGCCUUCGGGUUGUAAACCUCUUUUAGUAGGGAAGAAGCGAAAGUGACGGUACCUGCAGAAAAAGCACCGGCUAACUACGUGCCAGCAGCCGCGGUAAUACGUAGGGUGCAAGCGUUGUCCGGAAUUAUUGGGCGUAAAGAGCUCGUAGGCGGUUUGUCGCGUCUGCUGUGAAAUCCCGAGGCUCAACCUCGGGCUUGCAGUGGGUACGGGCAGACUAGAGUGCGGUAGGGGAGAUUGGAAUUCCUGGUGUAGCGGUGGAAUGCGCAGAUAUCAGGAGGAACACCGAUGGCGAAGGCAGAUCUCUGGGCCGUAACUGACGCUGAGGAGCGAAAGCAUGGGGGAGCGAACAGGAUUAGAUACCCUGGUAGUCCAUGCCGUAAACGUUGGGCGCUAGAUGUAGGGACCUUUCCACGGUUUCUGUGUCGUAGCUAACGCAUUAAGCGCCCCGCCUGGGGAGUACGGCCGCAAGGCUAAAACUCAAAGGAAUUGACGGGGGCCCGCACAAGCGGCGGAGCAUGCGGAUUAAUUCGAUGCAACGCGAAGAACCUUACCAAGGCUUGACAUACACCGGAAACGGCCAGAGAUGGUCGCCCCCUUGUGGUCGGUGUACAUGUGGUGCAUGGUUGUCGUCAGCUCGUGUCGUGAGAUGUUGGGUUAAGUCCCGCAACGAGCGCAACCCUCGUUCUAUGUUGCCAGCGGGUUAUGCCCGGGGACUCAUAGGAGACUGCCUGGGUCAACUCGAGAAGGUGGGGAUGACGUCAAUCAUCAUGCCCCUUAUUGUUCUUGGGCUUCACGCAUGC
rnacentral:rRNA from 1 species